GCCUCGCAGGGCCUCGCAGGAUCUCGGCGUGACGCACCAAUCCAGGCCCGCAGCCCGCAGCCCGGCUGCACACAAGGGCCCGAGGUCGUGUGCGGCCACCGAAGGACAGGGUGGUCCUCCCUGACGUCAAGCGCGCCAGCCAGGCCGGUCCCAGCUCGCCCAGGGAGGGCCGGGUCUCGGCCGGAGGCCCCAAGAGCACUUGGAUUCCUUUAUCUGCGGCCUGAGCCUUAACACAAGGACUCUUGUCACCAGUCCACUGCCUCCAAACUUCCUGCUAUUGUCUGCAUUUUCCUAUCUCCCAGCGCUUCAGGGUUGCAGUGACCCCGACCCACGCACCUCUGCGGUGCUCACGUUUCUGGACUGUGUCUAGCUGUGUGUUCCAUUCGCCUGCGCUGCGCUGCUGGAGUUGGGCCCGGCCCGAGCCCUGGCAAUGUCACAGGGCCUCUCCGGUGUCGCAGGGCUCUCCAUCGGGGGGAGGUGAGACGCAGGCGCUCAGAAAGCCGUUUCUUCCCGGACCAACCCUAAAAGGAGCCUCGGGGGGCUUGUUCAAGACCACAAAGGAACGUCCUUGCCCCCCCACCCCCCCGUGGAGAAAAUAAAGGAGCACGGCAUCGCUGGGCUCUCCUUCCAGACCCACUCUGCUGUGCCUCGUGACCUGGGCCGCCACCCCUCAGCCCCCUGAGCCUGUUUCCCACCCACAAGACGCAGCCUCUGCCCACAACAAACUCCCGGCUUCCCCCCCAGAAUGGAUCUCCAGAAGGACAGGUGGGCGGUCGCCUUCCACAGGACUUCUACACAGCGGAUACUGUUUCUGUUAGAGGAGCUGGGUCCCAACAUCUCAGCCUCAGGGACCCUCACCUUGUGUUUUAAAUCCUCACCCGAGGAUGCGUAUAUUGGUUUGAGAGAGAGAGAGAAAGAGAGGGAGGGAGAGAAACAUCCAUCGGCUGCCUCCCAUAUGUGCCUGGACCCGCAGCCUAGGCGUGUGCCCUGACCGGGAGUCAAACCCGGAGCCUCUGGGUUGCUUUAUUUCUGCAGCCUGAACCUCGGCAUGACAACGGUUGCCACCAGUCCUCUGCCUUCAUGCUUUGCAGUAUUGCGUUUUCCUCAUCUCACCGAGUUCCAGCAAACUGAGCCGCUCAGUCAGGGCAAGGAACCCCGGUCUUGACGUCUGCGGGGGGUGCAGCUCCGGCUCGCCCGUCCAGAGGCUAAGAAGGCGGCCCACUCCCAGACAGCCCCCUCCCAAACGCAGGAACCAACUCGCUGCAAAGUCUGGGAUGGUGUCUAUUUUUCUUGGGCACACUCCCCCACCCCGACCCCAUGCCGCUUCCAAGUAAUUCCAGAAAUUAGACCCUUCCCUAGAGAGAGGUCACCCUUCUCCUGAAAAAGGUUGAUUCUGGCGGAUGCAUGGGUUUCAUCUUCGCUCGUUUCGCCAGACUGUCUAGUUUUACAGGCGACGUGGGAGCAGGGAGCCGCGACGUCGUGGCCCCACGUCCUCGCGUUUGGUGCUGGGUGCUCAGGGAUCCCGCCGCAUUUCUUUCCUGCCAGCCUGGGCCGGGGUGCCCUCGGAACAGCCCCCCGUUUUGCCUGGUGAGCCUCUCUUCAUGGCAGUGGAGCAGAGACGCCCCAAAGUUUGCCGUGGGUGCUCUUGACCGCCCUCCGUCUCGGCGUCCUCAGAAAGUUCCCGGCCCUUCCCCGGCCGGCUUCCUUCCUGUAACAGCGGGCAGGUGUCUCUCUGGCCACUGGAACUCUGGCUCCGUGACCAAAACUCAGGAAAGAAAGCCCACAGGCCUGGCUCUCCAGGGGCUGCGGACACCGAGCAGCAUCAGAGGAGGAGGAGGGAGAAGAAAUACAACGGAGCCCAGGGUCCAUGGCACAGAACAAGGGGGAUGUUUGUGUCGGCGGUGGACGGAGCUGGAGGCGCUAGCGAGGGUCUGGAACUGAACUGCAACCGCCGCUUCUGCCCCAGGCCCCUCCCCUCCACUGUGUCGCUGCUGUCCCCCAGCAAACCCUGGAGACGGGCCAGGGCUCCCCGAGGGCCUCCCUGUGGUCUGCUGUUCCGUGCGGUCGGUCCACCUGACACCUGUUUUUGUAAAGUCGGUGCCUCCCUUCCGCCGUCCCUGCCUUACAUAAUCUCAAACACCAGCGUCACGGAGGAAGUCUUUGAAGCAGAGGUAACCGAAUGCGCACGCUCUUCCGGUGCCGGUUACACGGCGGCGUCUCCAGCUUCUUCAGAGACCGCCUCGGCCCCACCCGGAGCACUCACAGACUCACAGGCUAGAGAAAGACAUUUUGAGUGUCGGCUGCCUCCUGCGUGGUGUGAUGUUGAUUGUUCUCAACUCAUGUCUCGAUCUGAUCGCUGUCACCUUCAGCGGGUGUGCCCGACCUCGGAGUAUCGUCCAGCGAGAAACCUCCAGCACGGAACCCCGCACGCCGCUUCCGACACGGCCGGUCGGCCGCAGCUGCGUCUCCACACGCUGCACAAGUCUCGUAUUUCUUUUUCAUGUCGCAGUGUGUCUUUACCUUUCUUGAAAUAAUAAAGCAUAA